CACCGCCCAGCCCCAAGCAGACGCCCACCGGCCUCCUCCCUGGGACUGCCCUGCACCCGGACCCACUGGGUCAGUCGUGUACAGUCUGGAAGAGACAGCACUCUCAGUGCGCCUCCCGGACUCCUGGCAUCCAGGAGCACCGUCUCCAGGGAGCCCACCAGGGCACAGCGGGAGCCAUCUCGGUCUCCCCACGCGAGGACCCACUAGUUUCGAGGUCCGAAAGGUAGAAGGCAGAGCCCUCCACUGGAAAAGGAGCAUUGUCUGGAGAAAUUGUUCCAGCUGGGGUUCUGCUGAGGUUGUCAGAGGGUGACACUGGGCUUGGAGUCUGGAGAGAACACCUUGAAUUUAUAGAAUUUCUCCUUUCCCUUUAAAAAGGUAAUGUUUUUCAAAAUUUGUAUCAUUGAAUGAACUUUGCAAAAGAAGUAGAAAACUCAAAACAGGAAGUGUAAAAUGGAAACUCACCCGUAACUGGGAUCCUGUCACUCAGAGAUAAUUUCUAUUGCGGCAUGUGUAAAGAAAAUUACCAGCCAGUAUCACUGAUGAGCGUAGAUGCAAAAAUACCAUUACAAAAUGUGUGUUUUAUAAAGACAGGACAUACUGUUUUCUGACCUGCCUUUUUCAUCUAACAGCGGCUGGAACAUUUUCAUGUAUCAUUAAACGAUGAAUAUUCUUCCAUAAAAUUUUUUUAUUUUUCCUGCUUGAAAACCUCCUGUGGCUCCUGGCAGCCUGGAAAUAGUCAGGAUUCACAGGAGGAAAAGGAUGAAGCCACACUCCUUGACUCAUGUUGUCCAGGUGUUACCUGGACACAUGGAGGCAGAGACCAUGGACCCCAUGAAAGGAGAGGGCAGUGGUUGGGUUCUGGGAAGCCAUUUUUGCCUCCAGGGCGAGGCGCAGAC
rnacentral:lncRNA from 1 species